rnacentral:rRNA from 1 species
CCUUCCGGUGAGGUCAAGCAGCUGAAGAGUCAGCUCCUGGACAAGUACAGCGGCUACCUGAGAAGCCUCUGGAGGGACCUUUCCGGGAAGAAGAAGAAGAACGGGAGGCUGCCGAGGGAGGCGCGCCAGAGGCUCCUGCACUGGUGGCAGCUGCACCAGGGAUGGCCCUACCCAUCGGGACAGGAGAAGCAAGCGUUGGCUGACUCGACGAGGCUCGACAUGAGGCAGAUCAACAACUGGUUCAUCAACCAGCGGAAGCGGCACUGGAGGCCGGCGCCGCCGGCGAUGAGCAGCAGGUUGCAGCACAUCAACGCCGGUGCUUCCAGCAGCGGCUCUCCCGCGGUCCUUGGGAUGGAAGGCCAGCAGUGUUAG